GGGCCCGCACAAGCGGUGGAGUAUGUGGUUUAAUUCGAUGCAACGCGAAGAACCUUACCAGGGUUUGACAUCCUGCGAAUCUCUUGGAAACAGGAGAGUGCCUUCGGGAACGCAGUGACAGGUGGUGCAUGGCUGUCGUCAGCUCGUGUCGUGAGAUGUUGGGUUAAGUCCCGCAACGAGCGCAACCCACGUCUUUAGUUGCCAGCAUUUAGUUGGGCACUCUAGAGAGACUGCCGGUGAUAAACCGGAGGAAGGUGUGGAUGACGUCAAGUCAUCAUGCCCCUUACAUCCUGGGCUACACACGUACUACAAUGCUACGGACAGAGGGCAGCAAGUUCGCGAGGACAAGCAAA
rnacentral:rRNA from 1 species